rfam:Gorilla gorilla gorilla genomic chromosome, chr16, whole genome shotgun sequence
GCUGGGCAUGGUGGCGCAUGCCUGUAAUCCCAGCUACUUAGGAGGCUGAGGCAGGAGAAUCGCUUGAACUCGGGAGGUGGAGGUUGCAGUGAGCCGAUAUCACGUCACUGCACUCCAGCCUGGGUGACAGAGCGAGACUCCGUCUCAA